rnacentral:rRNA from 1 species
GACGUAGGGGGCAAGCGUUGUUCGGAAUUAUUGGGCGUAAAGAGCUCGUAGGCGGUCUGUCACGUCGGCUGUGAAAACUCGGGGCUCAACCCCGAGCCUGCAGUCGAUACGGGCAGACUAGAGUCCGGCAGGGGAGACUGGAAUUCUUGGUGUAGCGGUGAAAUGCGCAGAUAUCAGGAGGAACACCGGUGGCGAAGGCGGGUCUCUGGGCCGAUAUUGACGCUGGAGGAGCGAAAGCAUGGGGAGCGAACAGG